AUCGCUUCUCGGCCUUUUGGCUAAGAUCAAGUGUAGUAUCUGUUCUUAUCAGUUUAAAAACUAGUGUCCUUUAGGCUCAGAGACUUCACUUUUUUGUGUUUCAAAUAACAAAGAAAUCAAUAACUACCAUUUUACUUCUUCACUGGAAAGCUCAUUUCAUUGUUGUGAAUCUCUAUUCAUUA